GUUUAAGAACAAAUUACAAAGUGCAAAAAAGCUCCUUUAAACAAUACAGCAGACCAUAACUUUAUUUUGAUAACCUUAAAGAAGAUGGGUGAAAGCCAUAUUAAAGAGCUUCUUGUUUUAUCUGAAAAGGGGCUACAUUUAUUAAACAGUCUAUUAUCUAACGCCACAAGAAUACUCGGUUGUCUUUCCAAAGCAGAAAAAUUAAAAGAAGAAUUUCUCGACUCCGGCAGUUCGCAGCUUGAAAAAGGUUUUCACUCUUUUGAACAAGACGCAGGCAAUUUAAAAGAAACCAUUCUUAAAA